rnacentral:rRNA from 1 species
GACGAACGCUGGCGGCGUGCUUAACACAUGCAAGUCGAACGGAAAGGCCCUGCUUUUGUGGGGUGCUCGAGUGGCGAACGGGUGAGUAACACGUGAGUAACCUGCCCUUGACUUUGGGAUAACUUCAGGAAACUGGGGCUAAUACCGGAUAGGAGCUCCUGCUGCAUGGUGGGGGUUGGAAAGUUUCGGCGGUUGGGGAUGGACUCGCGGCUUAUCAGCUUGUUGGUGGGGUAGUGGCUUACCAAGGCUUUGACGGGUAGCCGGCCUGAGAGGGUGACCGGCCACAUUGGGACUGAGAUACCGCCCAGACUCCUACGGGGGGCAGCAGUGGGGAAUAUUGCACAAUGGGCGGAAGCCUGAUGCAGCAACGCCGCGUGCGGGAUGACGGCCUUCGGGUUGUAAACCGCUUUCGCCUGUGACGAAGCGUGAGUGACGGUAAUGAGUAAAGAAGCACCGGCUAACUACGUG